rnacentral:pre_miRNA from 1 species
UACCCUACGUCUGAAGAAAGUACAAAUGUGUUCUAUUGAUACUUUCUCAGCCGACGGGUACC